ACCGACCUUGGUCAAGGGGACAGUGACGUUCAAUGAUCGUCUAGAGAGAGCGUUCGUGCUGACACCCUAACACAUUUAACCCCCCACCUGACCUCUGAGGACACGGUGGAAUUUUUGAAACC
rfam:Folsomia candida strain VT population Fcan01_Sc002, whole genome shotgun sequence.